GGGGGCUUGGAAAUAAGUUUGUUCUCAUAUUGCCCACACAUGUGAGCAACACGCUGCUGCUGACUAGCGGCUAUUUUUACAUGUAGCCCAUGUGUUGUGAGCAAGAAAAAGGGUGCUUUUCUUCACUUAGCAGCAAGGUCACUGUCUGCUCGUUUAGCCAGGGUGGCCCUGGUUUUCUGUUUAUCAGGAGCUGUGGAUACUGCUGGCACUCACAUUCUUACUGUUGGCUGCAUUAUCUAAGGCUCCACACACUCGCCUGUGUAGGACACAAACAAUCCUUGAGCAGACCUAGGGAAGAUGCAAAUAAGGGCAGAAUGGGUCUCAGAAAAGUGCCGUUAAAUAGUCUGAGUGUUUCUGAGAGAAUAUCUGCUAGAACUACAGGGAGCAGUGGCUUCUCCUAGAUGACAAUGGAGUUGUAGAAGUUAAAAGGCUUUAAAAGGUUUAGAGUGCUUCUGCUGUCUCAGAAGAUGUGAAGAAGACACACUCCAAAAGAAAAAAAAAAAAGGAAAAAAAAAAGAAAAAAAGAAGAAGAAAAAAAAAAGAGACAACUUUCUCUGCUACCCACCUGAACACUGAGUCUUCAGCUGUGAGAAGAGACUUCAGAGCAAGACCUCUACAGACUAAAGGGUUCAUAAAGGAGUUCACUGAUACCUUGUUGACAAUGGUGAUGAAAUACCCUGACUUGUCAUCCUGGGAGAUUUCAACACACACAUCGACGAGGCUGCAGAUAUGAAGUCCCACAAACUCACCUCCUGGCUUUCCUCCCAAACACUCUCUGGGUAUUUCUACAUCGACAUUUACAGUCAGCCUCAAGGGGUCCCUGUCACUGGCUCUGAGUGGCAUGUGUCACCCUGACAGGAAUUUUCAGUGAGCUGCAUGCAGGGUUUACUGAAGUUCCCUACUUGCGGUCAGUUCCAAGAAGAGGUCAGAAUCCAGAUCACAGGGUGUGGUUGUGCUGAAUUCCUCUGCCCAAUGCCCGCAAACUUGCUGAGGAGAGGGUGAUAGAAUGAGGGAGAGGAUGAAAGAUGGAUCUGAGCUCCAGCAGAUUUCCUGGCUUUAGCUAUAUUUGGGAGCCAUGGUGUAGGUGUUUAUUUGGUAUAAGCACAACGAUGACCUUAGGGUUACUCUUGCUAUCAGUGUUGAUCAUCUUCUCUCAUUUAAUCCAUAUGCUCUUUGAUUUGAUCUAUACUGAACAAGAAGAGUGUGGACCAACUGCAAGGGAUGUCUUGAACCUGGGCAGCUGAAGUGCAGCUGAAGACAUCAUAAUGCAAAUUGAAAUACUCUUCUGCUCUCAUCCAUUAGAGCUGGUACUGCUUCCCUGCACAUCUUGUGGACCUUUAAGUUGAGUGUGAACUAUGUUUCUGUCUCAGUGAUCACAUGUGAGAACUGCACAUUUCAUGAUCUCUUCCCCCCCUGUUACUAUUGUUAUCAAACUUUUGUCACCAGUUGCUGUUUCAUUCACCAAUGUGUAAUCUGUAAAUGCCAGACCCCUGGUCCCAUCCACAGGGCAGAUCUAAAUGUCCUUCUUUAGCUAAACUGUGUUUUUUGCUUGAUCUGUCAGCACUCUUACUGCAUGUGCUCCAACAAACCAAGUGCCUUUGUUCUCCUAAAGCAAUCCUGCCUCAGGCUAUCCUUCCAGUAGAACAUUAGUUCUUUUGUUUGGAUAAAAGGGUGUCAUCACUCAUUCAUGAUGAGAAUAUGAUUCAGCCCCUUCUCCUCACAUUCACGGUCCAGUCUUCAUAAAUACUUGCUUUUACAGCAUAUUGUAUGUGUAUUCAAAUGGCUGACAUCAGUGGGCCAAAUUGUGCCCUAACAUGAAUGUGCUCUAGUCCUGCUGUUCAUGUUGGAGGAAUUGUGGGGAGCCUAAAUCAGAAGAAAGUAUGAUCUGUAUCCAGUCCCAUUUAGAUGUUUGUUUGGGUUUUUUUUAAAUUUUAAUGGCAUUAAUAUUUUUAAAUAAAAUGUUCCUUGAUCUGAAAAAAAGGAGGUUUAAACAGCAGCCCACUAAAGUAGAUGUGAUUUUUUUCGCACCUGCUUUGCUGAACUUUCGGUCCAUGCUACCAAGAAACCUCCUUAGUGUUGCUAUUGUCAUGUCAGCUUCACAUAGAUAGGCAAAAUUUUGGAUGCUCAAUUGAAUUUACUAGAGGCACACUUCUGAAACUUCCCCAUUAUGUGUUCCUUCUUCUUUACUGAACUAAGUAUCUAACUACUGCAAUUUCUCUUCUAGGAAGCUGUAUUUGGGCAUGAAUACUACUGAAAGACAGUGAACAAUAAUACUAAUAAUAACAACAAUAAUAAUAAUAACAACAACAAAAACAACAUCAACGUCCACUAGAAAUUCUUGCUCUGCUCCUGAAACUUCAGAUUUGUUAUUAUGUCUGUAAAGCAGGGAGUGGUGAGUACAAUAAUUUCUCUUUGCUCUGAGGUUCCACCACUUUCUGAUUUUCCAAAUCAGAGCUGUACAUGAACAGUAUAAAGUGUAUGGACUGUGUCCCAAACUGGAUCUCUGCCAUUUCAAGGGAGAACUGAGGAUGUGAAAAGACUUCUAAAAUGUAUAAAAAUACUUGGAUUGCAUUGAUUUAGCUUCAUGCUAGGUUUAUUUAAUGGUAGUGAGGGUGUGGUGUAAAUCCCUAUAGUUUGGGUUUUUUUUUUUUCCUGGGCAAAACCUCCUGAAAUUCACUGCAAUCGAGCUGAAAGAUAUGGAGAGAUACAGGAUACAAGUGACUUUAAAAUAAUUCCUCACAACAUCUGUUAACACUGAGACGAGCUAAUGUUGCUUUAUUUCAUGAACUAAGGAAGUGGAAAAGAGCCUUAAGGAAAACACAUUAGGAUAAGCUUAAGGAAGAACGUAGAGCAUAUGGUGGCACAUGGAUAAGCAGGCCCGGAUUACCUCGGUUAAUAACUCACCCAACAUACUGCUUUUCUAAUCUCUUAAUUUCCAUAUUUACCUUAAAGUGCUUUAAACAAGAGUUUGCCAGACCUAACUGUAGCUAUUCAGUGUAUUAGAAAGUUUUUGAUUGGUGUGAAAGGAUUUGUGAUUAGCCAGACAUUUCAUGGCCCUCUUGGUAAUGUGUUAAGAAGCCUUCCUGACAUCAAAAUUUAUUUUAAAGGAAAGCUUGUCCUAACAGUCAGAAAAGCCUCUAAAAGCUCAUCUGUUACGCCUUGAUAACUUUUUAGAAGCUACUCCAAUGUCCAUUGAAGAAGCAGAAAGGCGCCCAGUGACUUCAGGAUACAUUUUAUCAGAACACUUAAGCAAGGAGUUGGCUAAAAUAGCAACAUAUCUGCUGUAUGAAUCUUAACUUUUCCUCUCCAGAAAGGGUGAUGGGACUUUAUGGGAAUUCUUGCUUGUAAGUGUCAUCAUGAAAACAGGACCUGCAAAGCUUUCUCUGUGAUUCACCACAACAAAAGAUCUUUUGUUUCAAAAGCCAGACAAGACUGGUAUUGGGCUGCAUACUUGAGUAACACGUCAUGUACAAAACCAACCACUUAAAAUCAUGGAAAAUUCAGGACAUCAUAAAUCUUAUACCAACUGCAUCAUUUUAUUUAUUCAAUUUUUUCAGAUAUUUAAAAUAAACAAAAUGUGUUCCUUCAUAGGCUGUAAGCACUCUGCCAGUUUAGAACUGCAAAACCAAAAUGCAAUAUAAUUGACUCACUGCUUCUACCAAACUGAAGUAAAUAAACACUGGAGCCCCAUUCAUCAACCAGUCCUCUUAAGGCUCCUCAAAGAGCAGAUCCAACACAUGGGUCUUGUAGCAUGUCUGAAAGUCAACAAAUACAGGUGGUGUCAGACUACAGGAAGGGAUUUAUGAAGCCCUGAAAGAUUUUUGUAUUUUGCUGGCUAUACCUUCUCUAUUAUAUUGAAGGGAACAUAAUCCAGUCUCACUGUUUCUAAUGCCUGCAUCUCUGAGAGAUACAUGACCAAGUAUUUGUCUUAGGAAAGAUCUUCCCUGGAGGCUCUGGGCUUCCUGUGCCCAAACCAUCAUAUUCAAAUAAGUCAGGCCACUCAAAAGGGGCCGACCUGGGUCCCAGAGCAGAGAUGCACAUCCCAGGUGUGUGAUUGCCUUCUGUACCACAACCUGCUUCCAAUUAAAUUGCAAUGCAGGCCAUGUGAAGGAUGUGCUGCAGGACUAAGCCAGAAAUUACAAAAACACAGAUGAUGAGUGCAAGUUAUCCAUCUGAAAGUAAUGACUGUGAACACUGAGGCAGGCACAUGCAAUGGAAUCUCUGAGAAUCACUGUCAGAAGUGGAUGUGGCCCCAUUGAAGGGAGAGGACCAUCUAGAAAAGAGGGCCUUUGUAUGAAUGUUGUGCUGGAGGACCAGAAGAGGAUGGCACUGCGUAGCAGAAGCAAUUACAGACCUCAUGGGACUUGGAGAAACUGAGGAGGUCUUAAACCACUGGUCUUGUUAAGUUUCAUUACCCUGGAUUCAAAGAAAAAGACUGUGAUGACAGAUAGUGAUGAAUUUGUUAGGUGGCCUUCUGGGACAUACAUUUGGAUCCCUAAAGCAGAGGGAGGCAACCUGAAGAGAGUGGUUGGGAUGUAACACACAGACGGGUGCUGCAAGCUGACCACAUUUGGAGAUGGAAGGAUGGCUUUGAGGAUGUUUGUCUACCUUCUCCAAGAAGAGAAGCAGACAAAGGAUGUGAUCUAGUCCAACUGCUGGAAUAUGAAACUGGGCAGCCAGAGACAAGAAGAAAGCAACAUAUUUUUAAACAAAAAGCCUUUACCUGUUGCCAGGCUCUAGGUGUUUUGCUGGACAGGAUCAUGCCCGUUUCCCAGCCCCACAUUUACCUGGGGAACUUGAGAGCAGAGGACACCCCUGGCUGUCCGUGUGCUGCCCCAAGUGUCCCCGGGGUGAUUCUGUGUCUCCCCGGCUCAGGACAGAGGUGUUAAGGAAGUCGGUGGAGUAGAUUUUGGAGGAUGCUAUUGCCGGACCCGGGACAGCAGCCGUGCCCCGCCGAGCCCUGCUGCAGCCCAGAGGUGUGUGUGCAGCUGCCUGUCUGCACUUGAAAGAAGUCCUGGGGUUGUGUAGACAGCUCCAUCCCAGCGUCUGGGCGUGCACCCUGCACUGGCCAGUGCUAAUAGGCAAGUAAAAGCCCCCCGAGGGCCACUCACUUCCCUCUUGUAAAUCCGCAUGUGGUUUGAAAGGGUACUUUAUGAGGUGCCUCUGUAUACUUGAUCCCUUGUAUUUUUUCCUGCUGUGAAGCCCGAGGCUGUCUUUCACAGCUCCUGCAGUAAACCAGGGCCUUGGGAUCCGGAGUGGCAGGGACACGCAAGCAGCGAGUGUCGGCUUUCAUGGAAGUCGCAGGUGCUUUCACCAGAGAGCUGCCGUGCAGCCCUGCCUGCCCUCCCUGCAGCACCGCUGCAGGGCUGGAAAGCCGGGCAGGGCUGGCUGAGGCUGGUCUGGCAGACUUUCUGCCUCCCCAGUGCUCAGGUACUGCACAUCUUGGUGGGGGUUUGUCCCUUUUUGUCCCCUACGUUAUAGAUGGAUAAUGAGAUGAUUGGUUCUCACAAUUAAAAGAUAA